rnacentral:rRNA from 1 species
AGAGAGAGACAUGCGCGCAUAUCAAUAAGCGGAGGAAAAGAAACUAACUAGGAUUCCCCUAGUAACGGCGAGUGAGGCGGGAAGAGCUCAAAUUUGAAAUCUUAAAGGUUUUCCCUUGACGAAUUGUAGUUUAAAGAAGUGUUUUCUGUUGGAGGUUUUGGUAAAAGUUCUUUGGAGUAAGGACAUCAUAGAGGGUGAGAAUCCCGUAUUUGACCUUUACUUUCAACUUUGUGAUACACUUUCAAAGAGUCGGAUUGUUUGGGAAUGCAGUCCAAAAUGGGUGGUAAAUUUCAUCUAAAGCUAAAUAUUGGCGAGAGACCGAUAGCGAACAAGUACCGUGAGGGAAAGAUGAAAAGAACUUUGAAAAGAGAGUUAAACAGUACGUGAAAUUGUCAAAAGGGAAGCGUUUGACACCAGUGUUGUUUUUCUGAAAAUCAAUUAAAGAACUGUUUAUGCUAAGUUGUUUAGACUUUAUCAGCUAUCUGUUUAGUUUUGAGCUUUUCUUUAAUGCACUUUUCAGUUAACAAGUCAACAUCAAUUUCUUUUGCUGUAAAAAAGCUUGAGGAAGGUGGCUUGAGAUUCGUCUUAAGUGUUUAUAGCCUCUUGCCUAUGCAGUCGGAGAGAUUGAGGUCUGCAGCGUAGAUCCUUCGGGGCUAAAUGCAUUUGUGCUAAGUUAUAGCAUUUUAUAGACAACUUGUUGACUAUGAUUUGUCUUGUAGCUUACUCGCUUAUGUUAUUUUACCUACGCUUAGGAUGUUGACGCAUGAGAUAUACGC